GCCUUGUACAUACUAGGCAAGAGUUCCACCGCUGAACUACACUCCUAUACCAAGAAAUGUUUUUUAGAUUACAUUCUUAAAGUGGAAUGACCAGGUCUUUGGGUAUAAACUUGUGGUGUGUGUGUGUGUGUGUGUGUGUGUGUGUGUGUGUGCUUAGUAUCCCUCACCAGCAUAGAAGAUCUCAAAUCUUGUUCUUAUUUUGUUUUACACUUCUUUGACUACUGUUAUGUUUUUCGGGAACUUUUAUUUUUAGUUCCUAAAAUCAUCAUUCUUGGCCUUUGCUUGUAUUUCAAAAUCCCUUGGUGUUUUGAAUAGAUUUUGAUAACCUGUUUAUUUGUUGAGGAUAAUAUAAUCGCCACUUUGUGGGAAACACCUUACCAUUUAAUGCCAUAGUUUUAAAUGUAAUAUUAUCAACUUAUUAACUUGUCAUUUCUCUCUUUCUCUCUCUCUCUUUCUCUCUCUCUCCAAUGCAUCAUAAAGAGGUAUGAUUCUGGCUAAUUGAGACUCCUAAUUACUGGACUUCUAGUCAAUUAACCAAUCAAGAUUCUUCUCAGUUUUACUCUUGGACAUGUUGCAGAAGCAGAUACAUUUAAGGCCCAGUGACAAGCAAAGCUGAACAGGUCUCUUUAUCGUAGGCCUCACCUGGCCCUUUAAUAGAAUCACCCAGAGAGAUGGAUGCGAGACGGCUCAGCAAUUAAGAUCACUUGCUGCUCUUCUAGAGGCCUGGACUUCCACUCCCAGCAUCCACAUAAGGUGUCUCACAACUCCAUGGAACUCUAGAGGACCCAAUGCUUCUUCUAGCCUCUGAGGGUACCUGUAUACCUGCAGUACGUGUGCUCAUAUGCAAGUGCACACAUAUUCACAUGUGUAUAUGUGUGAGUGAGCGCGCGCGCACACACACACACACACACACACUCACACAUUUUUCAAAGGUCAUUUGCCUAUGGCUUUCCAAGGCAAGGGGCUCAACAAGUCACAUUAGUUGACGGAGUACCCUAUUCUUGAGGGUCAUCUGUUGAAAACAGACUUAGAAAAUUCUUUCCACGCUGUCACUUGAACCUAAAACAAUGACUCCAGCCAUGUGCCUUUGAGGUGUGGUGACAGAAGAGCAGGAGUUAUUUGAGGGCACAAAUAAACAAUGGGUAAACAAGAGCCAGAGAGGAGGCACCGUGUAAGGACUCCUCCUGCUCUUGUAGAAGACUCUGGUUGGAGUCUCAGCACCCGUAUGGCAGCUCACAACCCUACAUAGCUCCAGUCCUCUCUUCUGGUCUCUAUGGGCACCAGAGAUGCAUGUAUGUAGUACAUCCAGUCAAAACACUCACACUCAUAAAAUACAAUCUUUUUUAAAAAUACACACCUGAAUAUAUCGAAUGCUCACUAGUUACUCAAAGUCUGUUCCUUUCUUUCACUUUCUGCUCCAAGGAUGAAGUCUCUCCAUGGAAGUGCUUCCUGCUACUGAGCAGAGACCAGCUCUCAGGACCUUGGCUUUCUGUUUGUCACCUCAUCCAGCUUCCCAGAGACUCUGGGCAUGAAUAGUGCCUAAGGAUGACGAAGAUUCGACCAAGGAUGUGGUUAGAGUCUAGAAUAAUGACCCAUCUUGGACACAGAUGACGCAAAUGAAAUUUCAGAGCUACAAAUAUCUGGGUGGAUUUCUCCUCCCUUGGGGCUGAGGGCAUGUUGGAGCUGGGCUGGUGAGGAGAAUCCUGGAAUGCAGCUCUCCAGAGAGGUGGAGUUGCUGUCGUCCUCUUACUAGUAUUGAAAAUUAGAAUAUCAGAACCAUGAGCAUCAUUUCGGGGAGGAUUGUGCACAGAAGGAGGGAAGCAACCUAGGGAGACUGCUGAGUCCCCUGUCAGGUGCACUGUCCCAGACAGGCUCAAGGCUAUGGGAUGUCACUCAAGGCUAUGGGAUGGCACGACUUUCCUUUCCAAGGCACCAGCUUUACUAUUCAGGCCAACUUCAUCGGCUGACUUGAGCUGCAGCUUAGCUCCGCCUCUUUCAGCCCAGUUCACCUACUGCUCCUGAACUUUUCAAACACUUGGCAGACUCAGAGCUUAGUGGGCAAGCACAGCUCACCCAUCUCAAAGGAGGCAGGUCAGGAGGCGGAAAUGAGUAGCUUGCUUCUGAAGCCAGAAAGAGUUCCUGUUGCAGGUCCCCAUUUCCUCCUUGAGUGACUUUGACUCAGCCGUGUGAUCUCAGAUAUUCUCAAUCUUGUCACCUGCAAAGUGGGGAUUUCAAGAGAACCUUCCUUGAAGGCCACAUCUGACACAGAAUCUCCAACUUAAAAAAAAAAAGCGUA